CACGUAGGGGCGAGCGUUGUCCGGAAUUACUGGGCGUAAAGGGCGCGCAGGCUGUUAUGCGAGUCUGCUGUGAAAUGUACCGGCUCAACCGGUGCCUUGCGGCGGAUACUGCAUAGCUGGAGUACUGGAGAGGGAAGUGGAAUUCCCGGUGUAGCGGUGAAAUGCGUAGAUAUUGGGAGGAACACCGGUGGCGAAGGCGGCUUUCUGGCCAGUUACUGACGCUCAUGCGCGAAAGCUGGGGUAGCGAACCGGAUUAGAUACCCG
rnacentral:rRNA from 1 species